UUAACCUGGUUGAUCCUGCCAGUAGUCAUAUGCUUGUCUUAAAGAUUAAGCCAUGCAUGUCUAAGUAUAAAUAGUAUACAGUGAAACUGCGAAUGGCUCAUUAAAUCAGUUAUAGUUUAUUUGAUAAUAUUCUUACAUGGAUAACUGUAGUAACAUAGAGCUAAUACAUGCUGUCAGGCCCGACUCACGAAGGG
rnacentral:rRNA from 1 species